rnacentral:rRNA from 1 species
UGAGGAAUAUUGGUCAAUGGGCGGAAGCCUGAACCAGCCAAGUAGCGUGAGGGAUGACUGCCCUAUGGGUUGUAAACCUCUUUUAUAAGGGAAUAAAAUACGGGACGUGUCCUGUUUUGCAUGUACCUUAUGAAUAAGGACCGGCUAAUUCCGUGCCAGCAGCCGCGGUAAUACGGAAGGUCCGGGCGUUAUCCGGAUUUAUUGGGUUUAAAGGGAGCGUAGGCCGGAGAUUAAGCGUGUUGUGAAAUGUAGUGGCUCAACCUCUGCACUGCAGCGCGAACUGGUCUUCUUGAGUACGCACAACGUGGGCGGAAUUCGUGGUGUAGCGGUGAAAUGCUUAGAUAUCACGAAGAACUCCGAUUGCGAAGGCAGCUCACGGGAGCGCAACUGACGCUGAAGCUCGAAAGUGCGGGUAUCGAACAGGAUUAGAUACCCUGGUAGU